ensembl:lncRNA
ACUAGUUCAGUGGUUAGGCCUACUAGUUACCGGCAGUGGUUAGGUCUACUAGUUCAGUGGUUAGGCCUACUAGUUACCGGCAGUGGUUAGGUCUACUAGUUACCGGCAGUGGUUAGGUCUACUAGUUACCGGCAGUGGUUAGGUCUACUAGUUCAGUGGUUAGGCCUACUAGUUACCGGCAGUGGUUAGGUCUACUAGUUCAGUGGUUAGGCCUACUAGUUACCGGCAGUGGUUAGGUCUACUAGUUACCGGCAGUGGUUAGGCCUACUAGUUACCGGCAGUGGUUAGGCCUACUAGUUAUCGGCAGUGGUUAGGUCUACUAGUUACCGGCAGUGGUUAGGUCUACUAGUUACCGUCAGUGGUUAGGCCUACUAGUUACCGUCAGUGGUUCUGACCUGGUAGAGGUGGUAACUGUUUCUCCUCCCUGGUGACCAGCUGCUCCAGGGGUUUUGGCAGGGCAGGAACCUCCUCUGCUAACUUGGCUGGUACCGCUGUUGGCUUCAAGAUCCUCUCCUCCUCACGAC